GGCACGGUACGCUCACGUUCGGAGAGGGCAGACUAACACCAAGGAGCGCGCGCUGGCUUCUGGCCGGGCGGCUGAACGACUUUGAAUAGCCUGGGGCGCUUGGGUCUGGAGAACCACUUCCCAAAGAUGUGAAGAGAUGGAAUCUGAGCCCCAUGGUGGAAGUGGCAACCAGCGAGCCAGUUCAUGAGGCAAAGGAUGGCUGCAACGGAGUCCUCAGGCAAGGCCAUCCCCAAGCAAGGACUCCACGCAGAGACAGAAAUCAGCCCUUCACAACAGCCUUGACCUUGCUGCUUCCCGCCAGUGCUUCAGGCGGUUUUGCUACCAGGAGGUAGCUGGCCCCCAUGAAGCUUUUAACACACUCUGGAAACUCUGUUGUCAGUGGCUGUGGCCUAAGACACACUCAAAGAGCAAAUCCUGGAGCUGCUGGUUUUGGAGCAGUUUCUCACAAUCUUGCCCAAGGAGAUCCAGACCUGGGUGAAGCAGCAUCCAGAAAAUGAUGAGGAAGCCGUGGCUCUGACUGAGGAUGUACAGAGUACCUGGGCAACAGUGGCCCUGAGAAUAUUUCUGUUCUGCUUCCAUGUCACAUCCUUUUCUAAUGCGACUUUUAGGGGUUGUAAAGUCCAGCAUAGGCAGCGAUGUGUAAUGACAGAUGAUGGGGCCUGCUCUCAGGUCCUGGAUCCUGGGAAGGACUUAAAAGUGCUCCUCCAGGAGACAGCCCCUUUGUGGGCAGCCAAAGAAUCCCUGAAAUACCAUCUGAAACAGGGAGUUCAUCUAGAGGAACAGACUUUGAAGGGGUCACAGAGCUCACAGUGAAGACCACCUAGGAACAGUCAGAAGGUUCCCACGUGCUGCUGAUGCGCUGGCCCAGGGACGCCACUCAAACCCCUGCUCUGUGUCUGCCAUGUGGAAGCUGCCCUCUCAUAGUGGAUGUUUCUCCCCCAGCCUGGCUUACUGCACAGGCUGCCGGGAACCAUCUCCAGAAGGGUCUUCAAGACCAGGAGACAGGUGCUGUUCUCUGUACCACGGAGACCCAGGUGAGCUGCGGUUGGUUUUUCUCUUGAAGUUCCCAUUUCACUUUGUACUGACUCACUCUAGAAGUCAUUCUUUCCCAGAGAUGUUAGACAGACUUUUAUGUAGUCCAUUGGGCUUGGCCUGGGUUUUCUUAUUGUCUACUCCGGCGUCAUCACAUGGCUGCUUACCUACCCCAAUCCUGCCCUCAGAGGCCUAACCUCCCUUGCCUUGCUUUACUUCCAACCUGAUGACUGUCGUCCUGUCUCUGCCCCACCCCAGGCUAGAGCACUGCUAUUUCAUCAGUAGCAGCAGACCCCAGUGUCGUUACAAGGGCCAGUCAUGUGUGAGGAGAGAACUGUAUCCCUCCAUCAGAAGGACGGGUGCACCUUGGACCUGUAUAGAAGGCCCUCUACAGGGGUGUUAAACAGAAGAAGGACAGGAACGUAUUCCUAGGUGAGGAUCUGCAUUCCCUCUAGGUCCAGCGUGGAUGUGUUCAGUUGUACAGAGAGAAAAAGAGCCCGAAAGAACCUGAAAAGGAAGGAAACAGAGGCAGUGGGGAGUAUGUUAGGUAAAGAAGGAAAAUACUGAGAGUAGGCAAGAGACAUACAGAAAGGAAGAUACGGAGAAAGAGAGACCAGAGAGAGAGACAGAGAAAGGAAGACACAGGGAAGGACACAAACAGACACUGAAAGAAAAGGAAAGCAAGGGAGAGGUCUCACGACAGGGAUGGACAGCAUGUGUGAAGUGAACAAGAAUAAGGGAGGGGGCAUGAGACGGAAAGCAGUGGGGACAGAGAAUGUGGGGGUCCAUGGCAAGAGGGGGAGAAGAGACAGAGUAAAAGAAACACAGCAGGGGACAGCAGUGAGGCACAGACUGUGGAGUGAACAGGUGAGAGAUGAAUGAACAUGUGCUCACACACAGCUGUGAUGUCCUGAGUGGUAGGGGAAAUUAACAAAAUAACCCAACUGUGACAGUCCACUUCUAUGUGCAGGCUCUUCAAGAGGCACCAAGAGCCCUUUGUCAGUCUCAGGACUGAUCACUUCAUUCCUCAAAUCAGCUCUGCCUCAUCCAGGCUGCUCCACUACAUAGAAGCCUCCCUGACCAGUAGAUUCAGACAGAUACUCUGCAGCCGGCUUUGGCCUUGAUACCUCCUCCAUUUAUAUAUAUAUAUUUCAGAGAGAGGAAAGGAAAGGGAGAGAGAGAGAGAUAGAAACAUC